rnacentral:rRNA from 1 species
UAAAAUGAGAGUUUGAUCCUGGCUCAGGACGAACGCUGGCGGCGUGCCUAAUACAUGCAAGUCGAACGCA